rnacentral:rRNA from 1 species
AACGAACGCUGGCGGCAUGCCUAACACAUGCAAGUCGAACGAGAUCUUCGGGUCUAGUGGCGCACGGGUGCGUAACGCGUGGGAAUCUGCCCUUUGGUUCGGAAUAACAGUUGGAAACGACUGCUAAUACCGGAUGAUGACGAAAGUCCAAAGAUUUAUCGCCAGAGGAUGAGCCCGCGUAGGAUUAGCUAGUUGGUGUGGUAAAGGCGCACCAAGGCGACGAUCCUUAGCUGGUCUGAGAGGAUGAUCAGCCACACUGGGACUGAGACACGGCCCAGACGCCUACGGGAGGCAGCAGUGGGGAAUAUUGGACAAUGGGCGAAAGCCUGAUCCAGCAAUGCCGCGUGAGUGAUGAAGGCCUUAGGGUUGUAAAGCUCUUUUACCCGGGAUGAUAAUGACAGUACCGGGAGAAUAAGCGCCGGCUAACUCCGUGCCAGCAGCCGCCGUAA